rnacentral:rRNA from 1 species
GCCAGACUCCUACGGGAGGCAGCAGUGGGGAAUAUUGCACAAUGGGGGAAACCCUGAUGCAGCAACGCCGCGUGAAGGAAGACGGUUUUCGGAUUGUAAACUUCUAUCAAUAGGGAAGAAAGGAAUGACGGUACCUAAAUAAGAAGCCCCGGCUAACUACGUGCCAGCAGCCGCGGUAAUACGUAGGUGGCAAGCGUUAUCCGGAUUUACUGGGUGUAAAGGGCGUGUAGGCGGGAGAGCAAGUCAGACGUGAAAUUCCAGGGCUCAACCCUGGAACUGCGUUUGAAACUGUUCUUCUUGAGUGAUGGAGAGGCAGGCGGAAUUCCGUGUGUAGCGGUGAAAUGCGUAGAUAUACGGAGGAACACCAGUGGCGAAGGCGGCCUGCUGGACAUUAACUGACGCUGAGGCGCGAAAGCGUGGGGAGCAAACAGGAUUAGAUACCCCGGUAU